GGCUGGGUAGCUCAGUUGGUUAGAGCAUUAUCCUGAUAAGUCAAGGUUGCAGAUUUGAUCCCCAGUCA
rfam:Myotis lucifugus cont2.12262, whole genome shotgun sequence.